GUCCUGACUCUCUGAGCUCCAGCUGCUCUCCCUCAGCAGAGGGCACGUCCACCAGAUUACCAUCCUCCUUCGGUCUUUUCCAGGAGAACUGGACCAGAGGAGGAAACAUGCCUGAGGCCAGACACAGCAGGGAGGUCUUCCCCCCCAGGUGGGCUCUGGAUGCUGCUGGGUACACACUCACCACGGGCUUCACUACGUCCUCAUCUGAAGUUUGACAGCAGCAACAAGCAGCACACACACAUUCACACAGUCAACAGCAGCUUCCAGCACUGCACUGCAUUCAGUCUGAUCCUGGAAACUACAUGGACUCUGAUCACUAAACUACUCAUCAAUACAGCACAAAGUUCACCACAUAUACUGGAUUCACCUUCACAUAGAAACAUUCUCUGCUAUAUAUCAUGCUUAUAUGCAUAUUUAUAUUUAUUUAUGUCAAUGCCAUACAGAGUCCGUUCACCCUUAAUUCUAUUCUAUUUAUUUUUGUUUUGCUAUUCUAUUUAUAUUCUGUGUCGUUUGCUAACUGUCCUGCAUGCUGCCCUGUCUUUCGUUCACAAACUGUUGUAGUGCCCUGUGUGAUGUGUUCUGUCUGUAUUUGCUGCUGGAAACGUAAUUUCCCCGAGGGAGUCAUCCCAAAGGGAUCAAUAAAGUCCGUCUAAGUCUAAGUCUAAGUCUAUAUAUUAUGGAUAUCAUCAGAGAAAGAUCAACAAAGAUGGCAACAGGAUUUACAUUCUUUAUAUUCAUAUUCAACUUUUAGAAAUCACAAGCUCAGAAUAGAUGUGUCAUCAUAAUAUUAUAUAUUUACAAUAUCUGAAAUAUAUCUUUAACAAGAAAAUGGAAGAAGAAAAAAGAAGUGACAGUGUGUUCUGUAUUGUCUUAUAUUUACACAGAUAUAAUUUUUGUAUGUAUAUACAUAUAUAAAAAUUCUAUGUAUUUAUAAUAAAUCAUAUUUUGUUUUAGAUAAAUUUAUAGUCUAUUGAUCAGAAUGUUCAUGUUUAAAAUACAAUUGUAAUUAAAUUUUACGUUUAAAUACGUUUUGGUGAAAUAAUUACAUUUAUAUAUACAUCUAUAUGAAGAGUAUUUGAAAACAAAUUUGUAAAAAUAAUAUAGAGCCUGUAUAUCUUCAAUAAAAAAAUAUAUAUUUUCCAUCAUUUAAAAUACAGUGGCAGUUAUGAGAUAAAACAUUUACUGUGAUAUAUUUUGGUUUUGUAUAUUUUAUCAAACAUUGUGUUGUUGUAUCAUUUUAUAUCCACACGUAUAAUUUUUGUGUGUGUACAUACACAAAAUUUUAUAUAUCUAUGUUGAUUGAAUUACAUUUUUUGUAACAUCACUAUAUAUUGAUCAUAAUUUUGUUAUUGAAUAAUUUACCCUUAUAAAAUUUUCAAUAAAUUCUCUAUUAAACUAAA